CUAACCGAUGCCAUUGCUCACCUCUUGUGCUAGCCUAUGAUCAGGCCCAUUUCUCUGCUCUUGUUUCCAUGGAACAGAAAGAUCAACAGAGAGAACAAGCGGUGAUCCCCUUGACUGACUCUGAACACAAGCUACUGCCUUUGCACUUUGCGGUCGAUCCUGGGAAAGACUGGGAGUGGGGAAAAGAUGACAAUGAUAACACCAGACUGGCCAAUUUGAUUCUGUCUCUUGAGGCAAAGCUUAAUCUUCUACACAGCUAUAUGAAUG